GUCAUGAUCCUACCACCUCCAUUUGCAGUAAUUGAUUUCGGAGGAGAUUCUUGCCCCCCACUGCUGCCCUUAGCUCCACCUCCCACCCACCUGUCACCAACUGUCUCUUCCCAUCUCAUCAAUGACCCAGGUGAGGUGACUAAAACGUGUACAUUCAAAUAUUUCCUAUUUGCUAAGUUGCUAUUUGGGUUUGAUAUUGAAUUUAUACAUCUUGAUACAAACAGAAAACCCUUUCUGUCAAGGUGGAAACAUGAACUGUGUUUGACUGCAUAUUUAAGAUUUAUUUUUAUUGUAUAUUCUGUCUCAUCCCCCAGAAUAGCCUCAAACACCUGUGAGCUUGAAUUCUUUAGUUUUUCAUUUAGGAGUGCAGGGGAAGGGCUCAGUGUAGCCACCAGUCUGUCUAAUCCAUGCCCCCUAAAGAGGUUUAAAACACUCUGGUUUCAUAUAAUCUUCUCGCUCAGACCCAGCCGAGCUUGAAACCUCCCCUUUGCCAUGAUAGGAAUGGACAAAUAAAGGUCUCUCCUAGCAUUCUCAUGAAAGGACACUGUGUGCUUGGUGGAUUAGGGCCUAGUGUUUUUUUUCUCCCUUUCUCAAUUAGACUGAAAAGGAUGGAAAAAAUAAAGACUCUUCUGUUUGCUCUCUAUAAUACCUGGCCUAAAGGUUUUGCAGGUCUGGCCUAUCUCUUCAGGGAAAUGCAUGUGAACCGGGGGAAUGGGGAAAAAUAUUUGUGUAGUCUGUGACAUAUAAUUGUUCGGUCAUAAAACAGGUAGAGUUUUGCACAUCUCCAAUGCAUGGAAUGCAAACAAAAACACAUAAAGAGAUGAUAAAAAUAUUUUACAAAAAUUAUACGAGGUGAACUUCAACCAGUGCGUUGCAUCCCCACUGGACAGAGUGCUUAGAAUGAUUAAGUCAGGCACUGGAAAGGACAGCUCUACCGGCAAAUAGGGUCCUUCAAGUUCAAAGGCGCAUGUUUUGCUUCUCCAUGCUUGCAAACACACAUCUCUGGUUUCCAAGAGAUGCCCAGGGCGUGAGCAGAGCGUCUCCAGAGUGAGCCGCUGAUGUCUCGCCCGCCCCCCUCUCCCCUGUACACCCUGCGGGGAGCUGGGGCGCCCAUAAACACCCUGCACUUCAGCUGUGAUGGAGGGGACCCCCCUCUGCUGUUCUCUGGGUCAGGCAAAGGGGAUGUUCACGUGUGGAAUCUGAACACCCGGAGGGCUGAGAAGGUUCUAGAAGGACACUCA